CUACCGGGGUAUCUAAUCCUGUUUGCUACCCACGCUUUCGCACCUCAGUGUCAGUGUCAGUCCAGAAGGCCGCCUUCGCCACUGGUAUUCCUCCCGAUCUCUACGCAUUUCACCGCUACACCGGGAAUUCCACCUUCCUCUCCUGCACUCUAGUCUGGCCGUUCCGGAUGCCGUUCCCAGGUUGAGCCCUGGGAUUUCACCCCUGACUGGCUGAUCCGCCUACGUGCGCUUUACGCCCAGUAAUUCCGAACAACGCUAGCUCCCUCCGUAUUACCGCGGCUGCUGGCAC
rnacentral:rRNA from 1 species